AUAGAAUUCUCUUUCCUAGCUCCAGCUUCAAGUAGGAAGAAACUAAUGACUUCAUUACCAUCUCAAUUCUGGGAAAUGCUUGGUCCAGACCUGAAUCGUUAAAGGAAAGGGAACAUCAAACUUCUCCAUUAGGGAUGGAUGUGAUAAAUCUUCCUGAACAUGCAAAGUGCACCUCCUAACUUGGAGACUUUGGCACCCCGGGUUCAGAUAGGAAACUGAAAGAAAGGUGCCAAGACAGACUGAUGCAGAUUGACUACGCUUUACUGGCUCUUAGCAGCACUUGUCAAAAGGCAUCUUAGUUAUUGUUAGUUGAGCAAUCUCGCCCUAGGAAAGAAAAAGCUGUCGGAAGCUUCCUUGUUUAACACAAGAAUCUGUAGCUCCAAGGAGGCAGCAUGAAAGCAACCUAUUAAACACAAAUGAGGCUGAUCUCUGUAAGGAAAGGCAGUAUGAAGAAGUACGGACCUUAACCCCAAGAGGGACCAUUUAUUCAUUUUAGGAGUUUAGUCUUACGCUAAAUUCCAUUGAUAUGCAUCGUAGGUGAACUAGUAGCUCUGCAGCACGUGUGUAUGUGGUUUGCAUGUAUACUUGCAUAAAUAAUUUAUGAUGCAUGUUAUGAAAGUAUCAAAAAUUUGACUGGCACUUUCCAGAAGGAAAUACUGCAUAAUCCUUGCCCUGAGUAGUUUAUGUUAAUCUUAAAAAGUGCCCAGCCUACAUUUGUACCAGUAUGUGCUUGCAUAGUGAUGGAUAGCCAGUAAGGAACAGCAUCAUUAACGCUAUUCGGUCAGUUCUAUAGCAUUAAAGCAUGGUGUGAGGAUUUAAAUGCUCUCUUUGUAUUUACCUCAUACAUAAGUUGUUACAGCAACACAGGUCAGGCAUAGACCCACCCAGAUCUGCUUAAAGAUGGAUAGUCCCUGAGGCAUCGGCUGAAGUUUGUCUGCAGCAUGGACAUAGCUAUCCUUCCCCUGUCAAGUGCCCAUGGCCUGGAUGCCCAAAGAUAGGUGUCUGAGGCAAGAGCCAAGAUGUGCGCAAUGGCACUUUUUCAGCUGGGCAGAACUAUGAUUACCGGCCCCAGUGAUGGCUUUACUUCUGGAGUGAACAUCAACACGCUACAGAGAGUUGAAGCCCACGUGCAGAUUACUAUGUGCCUAUAGACAGAGUCUAAUGAGGAAGAGAGAGUCACAUAGCUCUGAUUCCCAAAUACCUAUUGACUGUGUUUCCUGUGAAUUGGAAAAGAUU
rnacentral:lncRNA from 7 species